UUUAUUAUUCGGCGUGCUUCUUUUUUUACAUUGUUAUAUACUCUAGGUGUUGUUAUAUCAAUUUCAUUUAAUCUGGCUGGCGGGAAUUAUUCAAAGCAUAAUGAAAGAUUUAGAUGAUGAAAGUCUGGAGUGGUUAGAGGAUGAUGAUGAUUCAUGCUCAUCGUGGAAAGCUGCAAAACCAGAAGAGCCAAAAAUACGGCGUGAUCCAGAUGGGAAAGUUAUUUUCGAUGCAUACUUGUAUGGCUGUAUGUUUGAUGAAGAUUUGGUGGUUUCGUCUAUUGAAUCCAUGGUUGGCGUAUCAGAUGUACAUGACAUUCCGUUAUUAGAGCUCUUCAUUCUACGUCAACAAGCAACCGAGAGGCACAAGUUGUGUCAGUAUCUUUUUAUCCUGAUGUCUCUAACUCAUGACGAGGAACUUCUCUUUGCACUGACGAAGUGCACGCCUCUAUACGACUUGGGCUGGCGACCAAGUAUCAAAGAUUUACUGACAGUCUUUUUCAAUUGGGGUGCACCAAUCUGUUUGCUGUGUGACAAGACAUGUAAACUGUCAUGGCAGCCCAGUUCCAUUCACCAAGAUGGCAAUCCCAGAAUCACUUCACACAACAUAAAAUUGGUGUUGCACCACAUGGAGUCGGCACUACCACACACAUUGAAAGAAGAUGCCACUGUUGAUGUACUCAUCAGGACAUUUUUCUUGCUAUUCAUGGAAAAAAUUUUUGUCACCACAUUCACUAGACGUUAUCUACUACAUUGUCUGUCUACAUUGGUCGAUCAGAUUCCCGACAGAUGUUGGAACCAGGAGAAGGCAUGCGUGGCACGUGAGUGAGCUUGCCUUUGAAGGAUUAGAAGAUCAAAUUCAGGACCUCGCGGUCCUCUGCAAGAAGCUGUUCACUCUGUGCGACAGGUGUUGUCAGGUUGGCCUUCACCUUGCGUACCGAAUUGUCUGCCAGUGCUUCCGGACGUUAGAGCACAGGCAGGAAGUUGAUGCGCCUGAACUACCCGUCACUGUUUCGGACAUUGUGCAACUGAUUCUUGCCAACAGUCACCGCACCCAGGAGAUGUGUUUGUUCAGUUUUAAUGUUAUGGUGGAUAUGAUGUACACCGUUAUCGUGAAGAAUUCUGUCACGCAGGAUGUUCAAGAGAAUAUAGUAAAAUACUUGGAAUACAUGUUAGUUUCUAUACGUGAAAAUUACAAGUCGGAAGAUGUAACAACUGUCCGUCAGAAGAUACUACGUUUUCGUAAUUUAUUGAAAUUAUAUAAAAAUGAUAAAUAAUGCCUAUCAGUUCUUUUCAGUUUUUUUUGUGUGGCUUUGUCUGUUAACUUAUUGUUUGUUUUAUUAUUCUUUAUUUACAUGCUGUAAGUGAAUCAUUUUACAGGUAGUAUGUUGCUAAAAUUUUGAUAUGAUAAUGGUCGAAUUCAAACUAAUUUUAUAUAUUAGGCAAUUUAGAAAAUAAUUAAGGUUGACUUUUUGUAAGGUAAAAAAAAAUAAGAAUUGAAUAUCAAUGUUCAGUGUACCAAUUUUUUAGUCCAUCUUUGAGAUCCUCUUGUAUGCUGCUUACAUAUUGUAUUAGCAAGAAACAAAAUGUUAACCAUUAAUAAGUUUAAGCUUUUUUUAAAAAUACUACUAUCAGUUCAUAUACCUGCCUUCAAUUUUACAACUGAUUAACUCUUGUCAUAAAAUAAAAUAAAUGGAAGACCACCAUGGCCAGUUGGGUAUAUUGCAUAAGCAAUAAAACUUUCACAUAACAAUGAUGAAGCAAAUUCCUUGAAUAAGGAAAACAAGCUAAUAUUUCCACCAAAUUUAUUUAAACGUUCAUAUUAGAAUGCAACAUCUAUCCAACUGAUGUCUGAACUAACAAAGGUGGCUGUAAUUUUAAAUGUUAUAAAAUUUAAAAAUUGUAAAUUCAAUUAUGACUAAAUAAAUUUCAAUAGUUUCUUACCAUACUCUCUGCCUACAAGCAGAUUUUUAUGUUUAAACAUAUUUUGCUUGAAAUUUUGUCAGAAAUACAUUUUCUUUUCUGUUGUUUAACAAGAAUAUUUACAUAUAUGUACCAAUAAAAGCUGUACCAUUUGCAUUAAAGUAUUAUUUUAUAGCUACAAAAAUAAAACUUUUGUAAAAGCUUCUUUUAUUAUGAAGUCUGCAACAAUGAUUUUUUAGUGUAAUGCUGUGUUCCUUUUACAUGUUAAUUCAUUUACUUAAUUUGUACAACUUAUUUAUGGUAAUAACAUGACUGAUCCAUAAAA